rnacentral:lncRNA from 1 species
AUUGCAACAGAAAUAAUUGGCUAUCCAGCCACAUGUGCUUCGGGCACUGGGACGGAGAACUUUGAUUUAGUUCUAGUUUCCUCAUUUAUUUGUUGGGUGAUCUAAGGAUGGCUGUUUCUCCCUCUGGACCUCGUCCAUUGAACAGCAGUUGUAGGAGGCGGAGUCGGAGCAGCUGAACUGACUAGUCUCUAAGGUUCCUUCCGGCUCUGAUAAGUCAUGUCUGUGGCUCACACGAUAUCAGAUUGACCGACAAGGAAUUGCAGAAAAGUGACGUGGAUGCAGUUCUGGGGGAAGAGCCCAGUCCUCGUGAGGUCAAGGCCACGAUUUAGAAACCAAAAGCUCAGAAAUGCUCUGAAACCACAGAUGGCCAAAUCCACCCACUGGAGGUUCAGCAUAUACUUGCUCAAAUACGUAAACUAAAAGCAGGCUCUUUUGAGUUGUUUGGAGGAUUCAUGGCUACAUAUAACCUGGUAGUGCAUGUACUGUGGGGCUCAUCCAAAUGGGAGAGGCCCUUCGGGGGCCUGCAUCAGAGUGAGGAGGCACGUCCCUGGGUAGCUCACCCUGGCCACCGGGAUGUGAAGACCCCUGGGAGAACAAGAGAAGCAAGUGGCUGUGUGACAUGCUGUAGAUAAAGCUAACAGAGCAUAUGUGGGCUGAAGAUAGAUGGAAGGACCAAGGACACACUGACUACUCACGAGGUCUGAGACAUCAAACAUGUGCGACAGCUGGAGCAGAGCUGUAGCAUGAGAGCCACCUCUGUGAUGACUAAGCAGAGAACCAGAAAGGCCUGGGUCUCUGGAGUCUUAGAAGAGCUGCCAUGCCGGCCUCGCCUGCUCCCUCCAACUUAGGCCAGAGUGGGAGACGCCUUUAUCUUGUGUAAGCCAUGAUUACAUGAAACUGAACAUAACCCUCACUAAUAUCACCCUAAUUUCAUUUUUGUGUUUGGUUGUCUGGAUUAGGAUCUGCAGAACAGUGUCAAUGACACCGAUGGGAGGGGUCGUCCUUCUGGUUACUGAUGUGAACGGCAGUGGCUCCAGUAUUUCACCAUUAAGCAUCCUGCUGGACUUGAUUUUACAUAGACCAUUUCCUUUGAGUUCGGAGAGAACGGCUCCCGUUUGUCUUCUGAGUUCUCGCUCCUCAAGGUGUGGUCCAGGGACCAGCAGGAUCAGCGUCACUGAGAGUUUGUUAGAAAUAAGUUCUUUUGGCCUAGAAUGCCCGUCCCUUCUUCACCUCGCCAUCUUCUUCACCUGACAAAUAGAAACGGCAAGCAAUAGGAUAUGUUAGAGUAUAUGAGGAAGCCAUUUGGUGUAAACCUAAUUCGGCCUGACUUUGUUUUUUCCAAAAGGGCCUGACGUGGUCGUUGAGCACGCGUUGUACCUCCGCUUUAAAACAUUUCCUGUGGCAAGAACAAAUGGCCUUAAGAUAAAGGUACAACUUCCCCCAACACUGGCAUUUCCUUAAGGAUAGGCAUCUUUCCUUAGGCUAGGAACUGACUGCUGUGCUCACCUUUGACCACCCAGCUCACCUGUGACCACCCAGCUUGAGACAACAGACCUGCCACCCUGCUGUAUUCACUGAGACAGCAGACCUACCUGCUGUUUCCAUCAAUCACUGUGCUGACAGAGCAGUCUCGCAACUAUUGUAAAAGGGACAUUUCAAUCCUAUGUGAAACAUCCUCUCUGGGGGUAUAUAACCACCCUGUGCACCCCACUUCUUUGGUGCCCUUUCUUCCUUCGGGAAGAAAGGCCCUGGGCCAUGGUCCUCAGAUUUCAGCUCAGAAUAAACUCUCCCAAAUUUUCAUUUA